UCUCAGGUGCCAAUAAAGCUCAAAUCCCCAGAAAUAUGUGACCUAUUCGGGGCUCUCGGGGCACCGCCGUAGGCCCAAUUAUCGAUGGACGCUCCCCCCCCCGAGGCUGUUUUUGGCACCCGCUGGCCCUCGCCCCGGGCACAGUACACGGGGCUUGGGGUCAGGCGCGGCAGUUGUGGCUGAAGGGUGGUAGAGCGGCGAGGUUGCGGCACCGCGGUUCAAAGAUGAUUUACAGUUUGGUAAAUUAUUUUUUAAAUGUGAUUAUCACAGCCUCGCGCUAAACGAAACAGCCUUUUGAAAAAGAAAGAUAAUUGAAUAAGUGAAUAAAGUGUAUGUAAAAAUAACGAAAAAAAAAACGAACCGGCAACUUCAAUGACAUCCUAAGUGGGCCUAAAAAACACGAAAUAAAUAAUUAAGAAAAGAAAAGAAAA